GGAAAUCUUGUGAAACAACAAAGUGACCUUUCUUCAUUAAGUGGAAGGUAAAUUUUCUAAAACUCUCACAAGGUGUAUCCAUGUGAAAGAAGAUGCGAUCUCCACUGUGCCUUCCUCCUGGGUCAAAUGCCUUCACACCAAGAACACACAGUCCCUGGAGGGUACACAGAGACUUUCCAGGGCACACACAGGCAGAGGCCUGGUUUACCUGGAAUCCACUUCCAGAACUUUAUCUUCCAUUUUUAUGCGUUUCAAGGCCCGUGGCCUGCCCACUGCCCAUUCCCACCUGCCCUACACAAGGACCCUCCACAUUAUGGAAGAAAGAUGGACUUAUCACGUAACCUAAAUUUGACUCUGUUCAUCCCCUUGAAGUGUAAAACCUCUAGGGCAUUAAAGUGAUAACUGGAGAAGGCAGCCUUUGGGAGUCAGGAGAGAAAACUAGAGAGCAUCACUUACACGGGCAAUGCCUUCCUUCAAUUCAAGAGCCCCACAGGGUUCCUAUGUAAGAAUUAGCACCCACAUUUAUCUAAAUUUUAAAAUAAAGCCAGACUUCUUUUCUGAUUGAAUGUGUGGUUUGGCUGUUUGUCUGACUUGACCACAAGGACUAGUUUUGCCAGUUAAAUUAUAUAGCAGGUAUUUUCCAUAAAUAAGUUAAAUGAGUCAAAUCUACAAGGUUUAAAUAAGAUACUUUUAAACCAUAUAUAAAAAAGUAUAUCCUUGGCAAUAUUUAAAUUUGCUGAAAAAAACGGAGAUGUCAACUUAAAAAUGAAAUCAGACCUAGAAUUUUUAUAAAAUUAUUUUACGGGCUACAUGAAACAAAAGGAACAUGAAGUUAAACCUACUUAACUCAGUGUAACAAACAAUUUUGAAUAGUGUUGAGUACGGUCUAUAAAGCAUUACAGAUGUACAGAACACAGCCCCUGUUCUCAAGUUGCCUAUAAUCUGGUUAGAAGAUCAAGACAGUUAACACAGCGGGAAUGUCUGUUUCUACAGAACGCAGAAAUGGGUGGAGGCAGGCAGAAGUGACCCUGGACAAGGGGUGGAUCAGUGGGCUUUGGAGGAUGGGUAGGAUUUCAAAAGGUAAGGGAGGGAUAAGGGGUAGAACAGCAUGAGGGAAGUCAGAGUUAAGAAACCUGGAGGUACGUUAGAGAAACAAUGAAUUGUUUAUUUUGGCUGAGACUGACAGAGAGAGACAGAGAGGCAGAAGAAUAAACAGAGGUAAGGGAAAGCAGAUCACAAAUGCUAUUAUGAGGAGUCGAGCGCCAUUAGAGCUUUCUGAGCAAAGAUGAACUCAGCACUCAGCUCUGGGAGGAGGCCCUGGCAGCCCUGUCCAGGUGCAGUGGAGAGAGGAGACGCGCUGGCAGGCACUGACAUCCUCCAGGCUCAGCUCUGUCUGAAAUCCAGCAGGCCUUGAGAAGACCCAGCUCUGGCUUUAUUUCAGGAAGUCACCAUGCAGCCUCCAAUGUGAAGGUGGCCCAGCCUGGUGCUAAGUGGACCAACGUACUGGACAAGAAGAUGCCCCCGCAAGGCUUCGCGUCUAUGAGAGUCUGUGACCACACGUGGUUCCAUCAGUGCUGCUUCCCUCCUCACCCUUAACUCAGAGGACAUCCCUGAGUGACCGUUAUCUUCUGAACACAUCUAAGGUAUCCAACCAGGGGUCAGCAAACUUUCCUAUCACGUGUUACAUAAUAAAUAUUGUGAGCUAUCUAGGCCAUUCUGUGACUGCUGCAAUCGCUCAGCUCUACCGUUCUAGCAUCAAAGCAGCACAGACAAAAUGUAAACUAAUUCACAUUAUAUGAAUGAUAUGGAGAACUGACUAUAGUUCAUUUUACAAACUUUACUGAGUAUUUAUUAAGCUACUUAAUGCCUCUUGUCCAAAGUGUAAACUGUGAGGACAUGAACCAUUUCUAUCUCCUUCCUUAUUAUAAUCCUUGAACACAGCACCAUAAAUGUCACAUUUAAAUGAAAGAAUGAAUAGUGAAAUGAAUGUCAUGCAUGGGGAAAUGUUCAGAUUGGAACAGGUGCAGCAAAUGCUCUGAGGUCCCUCCUGGCCAAGGGCACUGCCCAGUCAGAGUUGCCAUGCAGCACAGGA